rnacentral:pre_miRNA from 1 species
AAAAAGACAAACUCUAGGUUUCCGUAUCUAAUGUUUGACUAUCCGUCUUAUAUGAAAUUUUUUAUAAUUAGUAUUUUUAUUGUUGUUAGAUGAUAAACCAUGAUUAAAACUUUAUGCGUGACUUGUCAUUUUAAUUUUUUUAAAUAAGACGGACGGUCAAACGUUGGACACGGAAACCCAGGGUU